rnacentral:rRNA from 1 species
CGGGGUACAUCUGCCGGAAACCUUAGUGCAUGUGAUUAGGCGACUCUAAAUAAAUAUAAUCCUUGGGGGCCGCGCCCCCGAGCACUAGCCAUUCUUCGCGGGUGGCGACACUACCAGUAUGCGGGAACUUUCGGUCUAUCUGGAUAACCCGCAGUCACUUUUGUGACUCACAGGCUAAAUGGUAGUGGGUAUGGCCGCCAAGGCAGCUAUGCUUCAGAUAUAGUCGGUCCCCAGAUAUCUCUGGGAGCCUUGUGGGUUCGUGCCCAUCUAAGAAUCACACAAGCGAGUCAACGUUCCGUAGGUGAACCUGCGGAAGGAUCAUUA